AUACUUUUUUUAGCAAACACUUUGGCUUUCAUUAUUUCUCAAGCAAAUAACAAUAUCUAAUCUAUGCAACAUCCCUCUCUUCAUCUCUGUUCACAUCACACUUUGAAAGAAAAUACAGCUCAUUUCCCCCUCUUCCAGAACUCAAUUCAAAUUUUGAAUCCCUACUUCUAUCUCUCUUUUUUCGGACUCUCUCUCUCUCCCUCUGCUAUUCUUCUUUCUCAAAUUUAAUGGUUGGGAUAUGCUUCUUCAGCUUUGUCACCCUUCCUUAUUUCAUGAUUUCAUUUCAUAUUCUGAUUUUAUUUUUUUUAAUGUUAUUGUUUGUUCAGAUUUACAAACCCAGGGACGACAAAGAUCGAUGAAGCAGAGCACACAGUGAUAUGCAGGUAUCCUCAUAAAGGAAUGUUCAAAGGGCUUCUCAAAAAGCAAGGUUCACAAAAUUACGGUUUGAUGUAAUUCAAUUUUAUCAGAAAAUUAGGGUUUGUUUUGAUCAUCAGAAAAUGGAAUAUAGUGUUUCAGAAAUCAAUUAUCAGAGAUUGUUGUUCAUGAAUUUGAAGAAAAAGGUUUAUGUAAAGUUAAGGUGAACGAUCAUAUCAACUCAAUUUGAGAAGUUGAUAUAUAAUAUUGAUUUGGUUAUGCAUCUCUAAAGCUAUUUGGUUAUGCAGAAAUACUAAAUUUGUUGGUUCGUCAGAGGUAUAUUUUAUUCUAUAAUACCACAACUACAUCAGAGGCCAAAAGAUUUGUAGACUAUUUGACUACUUUGGUCCUCUAAAUGAAGUUUUCGUGCCUCAUGAUUAUUAUAUUAGAUUGCAGGUUUGAGUUCAAAGGAUGGUAACUAAGAAUAUGAUGGAGCAAAAUUAACAUGUUUCCUUUGAGCACAUGUAUUAUUGUAAGACAUAGUAGUGGAAGUGGUGGAAGGUGAUGCUAGAAAUGUUCUCUGUGAUGCUGUGGAGAAGCACCAUGCUUCAAUAUUGGUUCUUGGUAGUCAUGGUUAUGGAGCUAUAAAAAGGGCGGUAUUAGGUAGUGUAAGGACUACUGUGCUCAUCAUGCUCAUUGCACUGUGAUGAUUGUGAAGAAGCCAAAAACCAAACACUGAUCUCAUUGGCUGCGCGCGUCUAAAUUGUCCUACAGCAAUCAGAAUAUAUAUAUUUUCAGCAAAAGGAAACAUGAAUGUUCUUUAAAGUUUUCACUAAGUUGUUUGUUCCAUGUCAUAUUGACUCUAUAGAAUAAGGUUCAUUUCACAUUUUAUUAUGUUUUAAAUACUAAAAUUAGAACAGAAUUUCUCCCUGUCCCAGCCAGUAGUCACCCUGGUACUUAUUUUGAUUAUGAUCAGAUUUUGUAAAUGUGACAGUUCUAUGCAUAAACGAAUAAGAAUCAUAUGUAUGCCAUGAUUUUGUUCAUUCCUUAA